UAUUAAAUGAUGAGAUUAUUUUUUGAUAACCAUCUUUCGGGUCUGAAUAAUUAUGAUGUUAACUUAUAUCCUGAUAAUA